rnacentral:rRNA from 1 species
GAUGAACGCUGGCGGCGUGCCUAAUACAUGCAAGUCGAGCGAACAGACGAGGAGCUUGCUCCUCCGACGUUAGCGGCGGACGGGUGAGUAACACGUGGAUAACCUACCUAUAAGACUGGGAUAACUUCGGGAAACCGGAGCUAAUACCGGAUAAUAUAUUGAACCGCAUGGUUCAAUAGUGAAAGACGGUUUUGCUGUCACUUAUAGAUGGAUCCGCGCCGCAUUAGCUAGUUGGUAAGGUAACGGCUUACCAAGGCAACGAUGCGUAGCCGACCUGAGAGGGUGAUCGGCCACACUGGAACUGAGACACGGUCCAGACUCCUACGGGAGGCAGCAGUAGGGAAUCUUCCGCAAUGGGCGAAAGCUUGACGGAGCAACGCCGCGUGAGUGAUGAAGGUCUUCGGAUCGUAAAACUCUGUUAUUAGGGAAGAACAAAUGUGUAAGUAACUAUGCACGUCUUGACGGUACCUAAUCAGAAAGCCACGGCUAACUACGUG